GCAUAUCAUAAGCGGAGGAAAAGAAACCAACAGGGAUUGCCCUAGUAACGGCGAGUGAAGCGGCAACAGCUCAAAUUUGAAAUCUGCCUUCGGGCCGAGUUGUAAUUUGUAGAGGAAGCUUUUGGUGAGGCACCUUCUGAGUCCCCUGGAACGGGGCGCCAUAGAGGGUGAGAGCCCCGUAUAGUCGGAUGCCGAUCCAAUGUAAAGCUCCUUCGACGAGUCGAGUAGUUUGGGAAUGCUGCUCAAAAUGGGAGGUAAAUUUCUUCUAAAGCUAAAUACCGGCCAGAGACCGAUAGCGCACAAGUAGAGUGAUCGAAAGAUGAAAAGCACCUUGAAAAGGGGGUUAAAUAGCACGUGAAAUUGUUGAAAGGGAAGCGUUUGCGGCCAGACUUGCGCCGCCCCGAUCAUCCGGUGUUCUCACCGGUGCACUCGGGGCGGCGCAGGCCAGCAUCGGUUUCGGCGGGGGGAUAAAGGUCCGGGGAACGUAGCUCCUCCGGGAGUGUUAUAGCCCCGGGCGUAAUGCCCUCGCCGGGACCGAGGUUCGCGCAUCUGCAAGGAUGCUGGCGUAAUGGCCGCCAACGACCCGUCUUGAAACACGGACCAAGGAGUCAAGGUUUUGCGCGAGUGUUUGGGUGUAAAACCCGCACGCGUAAUGAAAGUGAACGUAGGUGAGAGCUUCGGCGCAUCAUCGACCGAUCCUGAUGUAUUCGGAUGGAUUUGAGUAAGAGCGUUAAGCCUUGGACCCGAAAGAUGGUGAACUAUGCUUGGAUAGGGUGAAGCCAGAGGAAACUCUGGUGGAGGCUCGCAGCGGUUCUGACGUGCAAAUCGAUCGUCAAAUCUGAGCAUGGGGGGCGAAAGACUAAUCGAACCAUCUAGUAGCUGGUUACCGCCGAAG
rnacentral:rRNA from 1 species